rnacentral:lncRNA from 10 species
GUGAUUCUGAUGCACUCUCAGGAUUGAAAAGCACUGGUCUGGGAAAGACACAGUCUCCUCAGACCUGAAUGUCACAUCAUUCCAGGUGUAUACUUUGGGAGGUACACAGACCCACUGUAGCACCUUCAGAUGGUGAGAAGGAAGGCCAAUUAAAAGAAUGUCCAAAGAAAGGAGUACUCAUCAUGAGAUAAAACACCAGCAGAGGAAUGAAAGCUGCUUCAAACAGGUGACAAAACUGAGGCUCAGAGGCCAAUGGCCUUGUUCAAGGUCACACGCCCACUAAAUGAGAGACCCGGAGACCUGGCAUCACACGCUAACUAAGAAUACUGGAAGGAGAUAAGAUUGGGACUGAAAGACCUGGAUUGAAUGAUUUUUAUCAAGUCACUUCCCUUCCUUGGAUCUCCAUUUACUCAUCAAUAAACUAAGCAGAUUGGAUUAAAUGUUCUGUAAGGUGCCUUCUAGGUGAGGAAGAAGUUGGGAUAAGUCAUAAGGAAGCACCCCAAUGAACAUCUCCUGCCUCUAUGGUUUUUCUGACAUCCAUCAACAUCUGUCAGAAUUUGAAAAUGUGACUGCUUUUAGGUA